UUUAUUCUUUUUAUAAUUUAUUUUCUGUCUUUUUUCAAGUUAUGCCCUUUUCCGGAAUAUUUUGACUCCAAUUGAUUUGUUAAAGGAAAAAGAUAUGCUUCAUUUCUAUACUGAAAAGAUAAGGAAACUUGUUUGAAGUGUUUAAGGGGAAUCUCUGAAGUUGGGUAUUUGUUUCGUGAUGUGCAAAUUCAAUUAAUGAGAGUGCCUGAAUAUGGUUGGACAACGCAGAAAGUUUUCCAUCUCAUGAACUUCAUUGUUAAUGGAGUACGUGCAAUUGUGUUUGGAUUUCACACGCAAGUGUUUGUAUUGCGCCCAAAGGUUAGUUUGUCAAGUUUCGAGAAAUCUGAUUCCAGAACUCCAAAAGUAUUUAAGCCAACCAUGCUAUGUAAUGUGACACUUGCAUUGGCUUUUGAGUUUUGUAUAGUGAUAGUUCCAGGACUUGAAUGUGAUCAGCCGAUCUUUCUUAUUUCUUUUCCACCAUUCAUCUUUCUGAAUUGUAGAGCUCCACAUAGUUUGAAAAGUAUGAAGCAAACCAAAAGGAAAUGACUAAAACUUAUCUCCACUCUU